rnacentral:rRNA from 1 species
UACAGAGGGGGCAAGCGUUAUUCGGAAUUAUUGGGCGUAAAGGGCGCGUAGGCGGCCUGACAAGUGGAAGGUGAAAUCCCUCGGCUUAACCGAGGAACUGCCCUCCAAACUGUCUGGCUUGAGACCGGGAGAGGUGAGUGGAAUUCCCAGUGUAGCGGUGAAAUGCGUAGAUAUCAGGAAGAACACCCGUGGCGAAGGCGGCUCUCUGGGACGGUACUGACGCUGAGACGCGAAAGCGUGGGGAGCGAACAGG